CCUACGGGAGGCUGCAGUGGGGAAUAUUGCACAAUGGGCGCAAGCCUGAUGCAGCCAUGCCGCGUGUGUGAAGAAGGCCUUCGGGUUGUAAAGCACUUUCAGCGGGGAGGAAGGCGUUAAGGUUAAUAACCUUGUCGAUUGACGUUACCCGCAGAAGAAGCACCGGCUAACUCCGUGCCAGCAGCCGCGGUAAUACGGAGGGUGCAAGCGUUAAUCGGAAUUACUGGGCGUAAAGCGCACGCAGGCGGUCUGUCAAGUCGGAUGUGAAAUCCCCGGGCUCAACCUGGGAACUGCAUUCGAAACUGGCAGGCUAGAGUCUUGUAGAGGGGGGUAGAAUUCCAGGUGUAGCGGUGAAAUGCGUAGAGAUCUGGAGGAAUACCGGUGGCGAAGGCGGCCCCCUGGACAAAGACUGACGCUCAGGUGCGAAAGCGUGGGGAGCAAACAGGAGUAGAUACCCCGGUAGUC
rnacentral:rRNA from 1 species